rnacentral:rRNA from 1 species
UACGUAGGGGGCGAGCGUUGUCCGGAUUUAUUGGGCGUAAAGAGCGUGUAGGCGGCCGAGCAGGUCCGUUGUGAAAACUGAAGGCUCAACCUUCAGAGGUCGAUGGAAACCGUUCGGCUAGAGUCCGGAAGAGGAGAGUGGAAUUCCUGGUGUAGCGGUGAAAUGCGCAGAUAUCAGGAAGAACACCCGUGGCGAAAGCGGCUCUCUGGGACGGUACUGACGCUGAGGUGCGAAAGCGUGGGGAGCAAACAGG